rnacentral:rRNA from 1 species
UAAAGGCAUGGUCCUGACCUUAUUAUUAGCUCUAACCCAACUUACACAUGCAAGCCUCCGCA